AUCAACUUUCGAUGGUAGGAUAGAGGCCUACCAUGGUGGUAACGGGUAACGGGGUGUUAGGGCACGACACCGGAGAGGGAGCCUGAGAAACGGCUACCACAUCCAAGGAUGGCAGCAGGCGCGCAAAUUACCCAAUCCCGACACGGGGAGGUAGUGACAAUAAAUAACAAUACGGGGUUCUUUAGGAUCUCGUAAUUGGAAUGAGUACAAUUUAAAUCUCUUAACGAGGAACAAUUGGAGGGCAAGUCUGGUGCCAGCAGCCGCGGUAAUUCCAGCUCCAAUAGCGUAUAUUAAAGUUGUUGCAGUUAAAAAGCUCGUAGUUGAAUUUCGGGGUUAGUAAGUUGGUCAUGCCUUCGGUAUGUACUGGCUUUACUGAUUCCUCCUUCUUGACGAACCGUGAUGUCAUUAAUUUGGUGUUGCGGGAAAUCAGGACUGUUACUUUGAAAAAAUUAGAGUGUUUAAAGCAGGCUAACGCUUGAAUACAUUAGCAUGGAAUAAUGAAAUAGGACGUUAAUCCUAUUUUGUUGGUUUCUAGGAUCGACGUAAUGAUUAAUAGGGAUAGUUGGGGGCAUUAGUAUUCAAUUGUCAGAGGUGAAAUUCUUGGAUUUAUUGAAGACUAACUACUGCGAAAGCAUUUGCCAAGGAUGUUUUCAUUAAUCAAGAACGAAAGUUAGGGGAUCGAAGACGAUCAGAUACCGUCGUAGUCUUAACCAUAAACUAUGCCGACUAGGGAUCGGAUGAUGUUAUUUUAAUGACUCAUUCGGCGCCUUACGGGAAACCAAAGUGUUUGGGUUC
rnacentral:rRNA from 1 species